GGGGGCAUUCGUGAUUGGGAUUAAAUUAAGGAUAAAAUUAGGUCAAUGAUUAGAAAUCUAUAGUGCUCUACACAAAAAGGCUAAAAUUUUAAUGAGGAAAUAUUUGGAGUAUUGUGUGGGUCCACAUAUGUCAUGGUCCUAGUUUAUUUGGUUUUGAUUGUGGGUUGGAUUUAUUUUGUUUAUUGUUAAGGUGUUCCUUGUUAUUCUCUUAUCCCCUGCAUUGUAAAUGUCUUCUUUAUGCAGAUAGGUUAACAGGCUAGGAAUUUAGUGAGGAGAUAAUUGAUCAAUUGAUGGGGGUUAAUAAUUGUCCAAAUUCUAAUCACAUGUUUUGAGGGACCACAGCAACAACAUUAUAUUUAAUUUGCAGGCCAUUAUUUAGUAUGUGAUGACAGUGUCUAGAUAAGUAGACUGUUUUAUCAAAAAAUGUGAGGGUGAAGGAGGAGGUUUGAUUUGUAAUCUGGCAUUUGGGUGCCACUUUUAAGAGUCUGUGCAGGAGCAUAGAUUGUUUUUGUUUGUUUUUAAAGAUAUAUUUAACAGUUUAUCUCGGUGCAGUAAGGAUAUAGCAAUUUUGAAAGACUUAAAAUUAAAAGCAAAAUUA